CCACUUUUUAUGUUUAUACUAACCAUUUUUACCCUUAUCUUUAAUGAAGGAUAAAAGACAUUUAUAGCAUUUUGAUUAACUUUGACAAAAAAAAACAUAUGGUUAACUAAUCUAAACUUAAGACAUUAACUUUAAACCCUAAAUCAUCAACUCUAAACCAUAAAUCCCGAAACAUCAACUCUAAACCCUAAACCCCGAAACAUCAAUUCUAAACCCUAAAUCCUAAACCUUCAAAUCUAAACCCUAAAACAUCAACUCUAAACCCUAAACGUAAACCCUAAACCCUAAAUCUAAACUUAAAACAUCAACUUUAAACCCUAAACCACAAAACAUCAACUCUAAACCCUAAACUCUAAACUUUCAAAUCUAAACCCUAAAACAUCAACUCUAAACCCUAAACGUAAACCCUAAACCCUAUAUUUUUCUGAAAUUCGAACCCUAAACCCUAAAACCCUA
rnacentral:lncRNA from 1 species